rnacentral:rRNA from 1 species
CGAACCGUGCGAACGUUGUUCGGAAUCACUGGGCUUAAAGGGCGCGUAGGCGGGCUGCCGCGUCCGGGGUGAAAUCCUCCCGCUCAACGGGAGAACGGCCUCGGAUACGGGCGGCCUCGAGGGGGGUAGGGGCGUCUGGAACUGUGGGUGGAGCGGUGAAAUGCGUUGAUAUCCACAGGAACUCCGGUGGCGAAGGCGAGGCGCUGGACCCCAUCUGACGCUGAGGCGCGAAAGCCAGGGGAGCGAACGGGAUUAGAUACCCCGGUAGUCCUGGCCCUAAACGUUGGGGACUGGGUAGUAGGCCGGACAUGGGCUUACUGCCGCAGCCAAAGUGCUAAGUCCCCCGCCUGGGGAGUACGGUCGCAAGGCUG